AUUGAACGCUGGCGGCAUGCCUUACACAUGCAAGUCGAAAGGUAACAGGUCUUCGGAUGCUGACGAGUGGCGAACGGGUGAGUAAUACAUCGGAACGUGCCUAGUAGUGGGGGAUAACUACUCGAAAGAGUGGCUAAUACCGCAUGAGAUCUACGGAUGAAAGCAGGGGAUCGCAAGACCUUGUGCUACUAGAGCGGCCGAUGGUAGAUUAGGUAGUUGGUGGGAUAAAAGCUUACCAAGCCGACGAUCUGUAGCUGGACUGAGAGGACGAUCAGCCACACUGAGACUGAGACACGGCCGCGACACGUACGUGAGGCAGGAGUGGUGAAUUUUGGACAAUGGGCGCAAGCCUGAUCCAGCAAUGCCGCGUGCAGGAUGAAGGCCUUCGGUUUGUAACUGCUUUUGUACGGAACGAAAAGCCCUGGGUUAAUACCCUGGGGUCAUGACGGUACCGUAAGAAUAAGCACCGGCUAACUACGUGCCAGCCGCCGCAGUAA
rnacentral:rRNA from 1 species